GACGAACGCUGGCGGCGUGCUUAACACAUGCAAGUCGAACGGAAAGGCCCUGCUUUUGUGGGGUGCUCGAGUGGCGAACGGGUGAGUAACACGUGAGUAACCUGCCCUUGACUUUGGGAUAACUUCAGGAAACUGGGGCUAAUACCGGAUAGGAGCUCCUGCUGCAUGGUGGGGGUUGGAAAGUUUCGGCGGUUGGGGAUGGACUCGCGGCUUAUCAGCUUGUUGGUGGGGUAGUGGCUUACCAAGGCUUUGACGGGUAGCCGGCCUGAGAGGGUGACCGGCCACAUUGGGACUGAGAUACGGCCCAGACUCCUACGGGAGGCAGCAGUGGGGAAUAUUGCACAAUGGGCGGAAGCCUGAUGCAGCAACGCCGCGUGCGGGAUGACGGCCUUCGGGUUGUAAACCGCUUUCGCCUGUGACGAAGCGUGAGUGACGGUAAUGGGUAAAGAAGCACCGGCUAACUACGUGCCAGCAGCCGCGGUGAUACGUAGGGUGCGAGCGUUGUCCGGAUUUAUUGGGCGUAAAGGGCUCGUGGGUGGUUGAUCGCGUCGGAAGUGUAAUCUUGGGGCUUAACCCUGAGCGUGCUUUCGAUACGGGUUGACUUGAGGAAGGUAGGGGAGAAUGGAAUUCCUGGUGGAGCGGUGGAAUGCGCAGAUAUCAGGAGGAACACCAGUGGCGAAGGCGGUUCUCUGGGCCUUUCCUGACGCUGAGGAGCGAAAGCGUGGGGAGCGAACAGGCUUAGAUACCCUGGUAGUCCACGCUGUAAACGGUGGGUACUAGGUGUGGGGUCCAUUCCACGGGUUCCGUGCCGUAGCUAACGCUUUAAGUACCCCGCCUGGGGAGUACGGCCGCAAGGCUAAAACUCAAAGGAAUUGACGGGGCCCCGCACAAGCGGCGGAGCAUGCGGAUUAAUUCGAUGCAACGCGUAGAACCUUACCUGGGUUUGACAUGGAUCGGGAGUGCUCAGAGAUGGGUGUGCCUCUUUUGGGGUCGGUUCACAGGUGGUGCAUGGCUGUCGUCAGCUCGUGUCGUGAGAUGUUGGGUUAAGUCCCGCAACGAGCGCAACCCUUGUUCACUGUUGCCAGCACGUUAUGGUGGGGACUCAGUGGAGACCGCCGGGGUCAACUCGGAGGAAGGUGGGGAUGACGUCAAGUCAUCAUGCCCCCUAUGUCCAGGGCUUCACGCAUGCUACAAUGGCUGGUACAGAGAGUGGCGAGCCUGUGAGGGUGAGCGAAUCUCGGAAAGCCGGUCUCAGUUCGGAUUGGGGUCUGCAACUCGACCUCAUGAAGUCGGAGUCGCUAGUAAUCGCAGAUCAGCAACGCUGCGGUGAAUACGUUCCCGGG
rnacentral:rRNA from 1 species